GUCAUUGUACCUCAUGAAUAUAUUUGAGUUGGGAGAGCGUUCGGCUGAAGACACCUUCAUUUCCAUCGGAAGGUCCCCGGUUCGAUCCCGGGUUGUCCCA